CCUUCUUUCUAUCUUCUUUUUCUUCAAUAUCAUCUCUUACAUUAAUUUAUCAUAAUGGCUUACCAAUCUCUUGCUUUCUUGGCUCUCAUCAUUGUCGCUGUCACCGGUGUUGUUGCUCAGGGUCCUACCUCCUCCACUCCAGCUCCCACCACCUCCUCCACUCCAGCUCCCACCACCUCCUCAUUUGAUUCCUCCACUCCCUCGUCUUCAUCUUCACUUGAUUCAACCACCACCACGACCACCACCUCCUCCUCCUCCUCAGGUUCCUCUACUGGUUCUCCAUCAAUAUCAGUGGCUCCCGGAUUGGCACCCGAUUCCUAUGCUCAAUCACCAACGACCGCGGCAUCUCCCACCGGUUCUUCUGCUGAGACUUCUCGCUUCUUUACAAAUGGUUUUUUUGGUUGACAGAUUUACAGAGAGGAGAUUCAAAUCUCCAACUUUUGAUAGACACUAAUACUAUUUUAAUCAUUUGAGCUAUGCUCCUCGUGACAACGUAGAGUCACAAUUUUACUUUUCUCUUUUAUUAAGUUUCGUUUCAAUCCGAUAAAAUAAAUAAAAAGAAUUUUCAUUUAUUGCUGUCCAAGUAUCUUUAAUUCCAAUGUUUAGAUUUGGACUCGAUACACGUAUUAGCAAUUUUAGCUUUACGAGACAAACGUCACAAACAUUUUUCAAACUCAUUAUUAGGC
rnacentral:lncRNA from 1 species